rnacentral:rRNA from 1 species
CCCUUAGAUGUUCUGGGCCGCACACGCGCUACACUGAAGGAGGCAGCGUGUACUCCUGGAUCGAAAGAUUUGGGUAACCCGCGAAUCUCCUUCGUGCUAGGGAUUGAGGUUUGCAAUUAUCCUUCAUGAACGAGGAAUUCCCAGUAAGUGCAAGUCAUAAGCUUGCGCUGACUACGUCCCUGCCCUUUGUACACACCGCCCGUCGCUACUAACGAUUGAAUGAUUUAGUGAGGACUUCGGACUGGGACCGAUGCGGCUUUCGGGCUGCGUCGGUAUUCUGGAAAGAUGUCCAAACUGUAUCAUUUAGAGGAAGUAAAAGUCGUAACA